rnacentral:rRNA from 1 species
UUCUAAUAGUAAUAAUUAUUAGUAUAAUCUGCUCAAUGAAAUUUCAAUAGCCGCAAUACAUUUGUGCUAAGGUAGCAUAAUCAUUUGUCUUUUAAUUAAAGACUAGAAUAAAAGAUUUAACAUUUUUAUUUCUUUCUCAAUCAUAUAUAUUAAAUUUAUUCUAAAUAUAAAAAAAUAUUUAUUAUAAAAAAAGACGACAAGACCCUAUUGAACUUAACUAAAGUUAAACUGGGGCAGUUAAUUAAAUAUAAUUUUAAUUUUAUAUUAAUAAACACCUAAUUCAAUUAAAUAAAUCAAGUUACCAUAGGGAUAACAGCGUAAUAAUUUUCCAUAGAUCUUAUUCAAAAAAUACUUUGCGACCUCGAUGUUGAAUAAUAAUCUAUUAAAUGCAAAAAUUUAAUAAGAAAGUCUGUUCGACUUUUAAUAAAUUACA